rnacentral:rRNA from 1 species
GAUGAACGCUGGCGGCGUGCCUAAUACAUGCAAGUCGGACGGAUGUAGCAAUACAUUAGUGGCGAACGGGUGAGUAACACGUAGGUGACCUGCCCUAAAGAGGGGAAUACCACUUCGAAAGGAGUGACAAAACCGCAUAAACUUAUAGAGAUCAGAAGGCUAUAAGGAAAAGAGCGAUCUACUUUAGGAGGGGCCUGCGGCCCAUCAGCUAGUUGGUAGAGGUAACGGCCUACCAAGGCGACGACGGGUAGCCGGCCUGAGAGGGUGACCGGCCACACUGGGACUGAGACACGGCCCAGACUCCUACGGGGGGCAGCAGUGGGGAAUAUUGCACAAUGGGCGAAAGCCUGAUGCAGCGACGCCGCGUGGGCGAAGAAGGCCUUCGGGUUGUAAAGCCCUGUCUGGAGGGACGAAGUAAUGACGGUACCUCCGGAGGAAGCCACGGCUAACUACGUG